rnacentral:tRNA from 1 species
GAGACGGUAGCUCAGUCGGUAGAGCAACGGACUUUUAAUCCGUAGGUCCUGGGUUCGAGUCCCAGCCGUCUCA